rnacentral:pre_miRNA from 1 species
AAUAAACCAAUUUUUCAUUUUUUACCUACAAUUUUUAACUCUUCGUCUUAUUUAAAUUUUUUUGUAAUUGAUAUUUUUGUUUUUAUUAGAUGAUAAAUAUGAAUAGUACUUAACGUGUGACUAAUUUUUUCUAUUUUUCUAAAAAAAUUUUAAAUAAAACGGAUGGUCAAACGUUGGACACGGAAUAUGGAGAAUUGACUUUUU